rnacentral:rRNA from 1 species
UACCGACUCGCUAGCCCAACCAAUCAAAAACAACAAGAAAUAAUAACUAAACCCAAAGACACCAACAUCUCCACAAACAAAUCAUUUUUCCCCCUUAGUAUGGGCGACAGAAAAGGAACAACGGAGCAAUAGAAAAAGUACCGCAAGGGAAUGCUGAAAAAUCAAAUGAAACAAACAAGUGAAGCCUAAAAAAGCAGAGAUUCUAACUCGUACCUUUGCCAUCAUGA